rnacentral:rRNA from 1 species
GACGAACGCUGGCGGCGUGCUUAACACAUGCAAGUCGAACGGAAAGGCCCUGCUUUUGUGGGGUGCUCGAGUGGCGAACGGGUGAGUAACACGUGAGUAACCUGCCCUUGACUUUGGGAUAACUUCAGGAAACUGGGGCUAAUACCGGAUAGGAGCUCCUGCUGCAUGGUGGGGGUUGGAAAGUUUCGGCGGUUGGGGAUGGACUCGCGGCUUAUCAGCUUGUUGGUGGGGUAGUGGCUUACCAAGGCUUUGACGGGUAGCCGGCCUGAGAGGGUGACCGGCCACAUUGGGACUGAGGUACGGCCCAGACUCCUACGGGAGGCAGCAGUGGGGAAUAUUGCACAAUGGGCGGAAGCCUGAUGCAGCAACGCCGCGUGCGGGAUGACGGCCUUCGGGUUGUAAACCGCUUUCGCCUGUGACGAAGCGUGAGUGACGGUAAUGGGUAAAGAAGCACCGGCUAACUACGUGCCAGCAGCCGCGGUGAUACGUAGGGUGCGAGCGUUGUCCGGAUUUAUUGGGCGUAAAGGGCUCGUAGGUGGUUGAUCGCGUCGGAAGUGUAAUCUUGGGGCUUAACCCUGAGCGUGCUUUCGAUACGGGUUGACUUGAGGAAGGUAGGGGAGAAUGGAAUUCCUGGCGGAGCGGUGGAAUGCGCAGAUAUCAGGAGGAACACCAGUGGCGAAGGCGGUUCUCUGGGCCUUUCCUGACGCUGAGGAGCGAAAGCGUGGGGAGCGAACAGGCUUAGAUACCCUGGUAGUCCACGCUGUAAACGGUGGGUACUAGGUGUGGGGUCCAUUCCACGGGUUCCGUGCCGUAGCUAACGCUUUAAGUACCCCGCCUGGGGAGUACGGCCGCAAGGCUAAAACUCAAAGGAAUUGACGGGGCCCCGCACAAGCGGCGGAGCAUGCGGAUUAAUUCGAUGCAACGCGUAGAACCUUACCUGGGUUUGACAUGGAUCGGGAGUGCUCAGAGAUGGGUGUGCCUCUUUUGGGGUCGGUUCACAGGUGGUGCAUGCCUGUCGUCAGCUCGUGUCGUGAGAUGUUGGGUUAAGUCCCGCAACGAGCGCAACCCUUGUUCACUGUUGCCAGCACGUUAUGGUGGGGACUCAGUGGAGACCGCCGGGGUCAACUCGGAGGAAGGUGGGGAUGACGUCAAGUCAUCAUGCCCCUUAUGUCCAGGGCUUCACGCAUGCUACAAUGGCUGGUACAGAGAGUGGCGAGCCUGUGAGGGUGAGCGAAUCUCGGAAAGCCGGUCUCAGUUCGGAUUGGGGUCUGCAACUCGACCUCAUGAAGUCGGAGUCGCUAGUAAUCGCAGAUCAGCAACGCUGCGGUGAAUACGUUCCCGGGGCU